GACGAACCGUGCGAACGUUGCUCGGAAUCACUGGGCGUAAAGGGCGCGUAGGCGGCGCGACAAGUCAGGCGUGAAAGCCCCGGGCUCAACCCGGGAAUUGCGCUUGAUACUGUCGUGCUUGAGGCCGGGAGAGGAUGGCGGAAUUCCCAGUGUAGAGGUGAAAUUCGUAGAUAUUAGGAAGAACACCGGUGGCGAAGGCGGCCAUCUGGCUCGGUACUGACGCUCAGGCGCGAAAGCGUGGGGAGCAAACAGG
rnacentral:rRNA from 1 species